AAUAUUGGACAAUGGGCGUAAGCCUAAGCCAGCCAUGCCGCGUGAGUGAUGAAGGCCUUAGGGUUGUAAAGCUCUUUCACGGAUGAAGAUAAUGACGGUUGUCUGACAAGAAGCCCCGGCUAACUUCGUUCCAGCAGCCGCGGUAAUACGAAGGGGGCUAGCGUUGUUCGGAUUUACUGGGCGUAAAGCGCACGUAGGCGGAUUGGUCAGUUAGAGGUGAAAUCCCGAAGCUCAACAUCGGAACUGCCUUUAAUACUGCCAGUCACGAGUCCGGAAGGGGUAAGAGGAACUCCUAGUGUAGAGGUGGAAUUCGUAAAUAUUAGGGAGAACACCAGUGGCGAAGGCGGCUUACUGGUCCGGAACUGACGCUGAGGUGCGAAAGCGUGGGGAGCAAACA
rnacentral:rRNA from 1 species